GCUGAUAUGGCUCAGUUGGUAGAGCACGUCCUUGGUAAGGACGAGGUCACCGGUUCAAAUCCGGUUAUCAGCUCCA
rnacentral:tRNA from 1 species